AUUUAUAAGUACUACACUAUAAAAGCAUCCUCUUCUUUAUAUUCCAUGCUUACUACCAUCAUUCAAAUUCCUUUUAGCCUUACUCCUCUUACCAACAAGAAAUAGUCAUCCUUUUGUGCUUGUGUUUUACUUUCUUGGCAAUUAAAUUGAGAAGAAAUACAGAGUGGAGAUGAUGGGAUUUGAGAGAUUAAUGAUGAACUUGAAGACAAAAUUGAGGAGGUCUCUGAAAAUGAAGGAAUCUUACGAUAAGAUUGAGAAGAGUGAAAGCAUGAGAGUGGAGAUUAGGAGCAAGAAAGCUCGUAAACUCAUCGAACAGACUCUUCAAAUUGCUGACUCCCCCAAAACCAGAAGCUAUACUUUCUAGUUACUGCUAAUGUUUUUUUGGUACUAAAAAUGCCUUGUAAUGACAAAUCUCGUCUCAACUUGAUAAGAAAUCAAGCCAAAUGCAGAAACUUAGUGGAAUCUCUAUUUUCUUCACUUCUCAUUUUCAUACAUAUAACACACGGGAAUAACUAGCAGUAAUUGUUGAGACA